UACGAAGGGGGCUAGCGUUAUUCGGAAUUACUGGGCGUAAAGCGCGCGCAGGCGGUCUUCCAAGUCAGUGGUGAAAGCCCGGAGCUCAACUCCGGAACUGCCAUUGAAACUGUGAGACUUGAGGAUGAGAGAGGUGAGUGGAAUUCCCAGUGUAGAGGUGAAAUUCGUAGAUAUUGGGAAGAACACCGGUGGCGAAGGCGGCUCACUGGCUCAUUUCUGACGCUCAGGCGCGACAGCGUGGGGAUCAAACAGG
rnacentral:rRNA from 1 species